rnacentral:rRNA from 1 species
UACGUAGGGUGCAAGCGUUUAAUCGGAAUUACUGGGCGUAAAGCGUGCGCAGGCGGUUAUAUAAGACAGUUGUGAAAUCCCCGGGCUCAACCUGGGAACUGCAUCUGUGACUGUAUAGCUAGAGUACGGUAGAGGGGGAUGGAAUCCGCGUGUAGCAGUGAAAUGCGUAGAUAUGCGGAGGAACACCGAUGGCGGAGGCAAUCCCCUGGACCUGUACUGACGCUCAUGCACGAAAGCGUGGGGAGCAAACAGG